UGGGUUAUAGCUCAGUAGUAGAGUGCAUGCUUAGCAUGUGUGAGGUCCUGGGUUCAAUCCCCAGUACUUCCA
rfam:Camelus ferus unplaced genomic scaffold scaffold949, whole genome shotgun sequence.